ensembl:lncRNA LOC120098113 uncharacterized LOC120098113
CAACACCAGGCUCGCUUCUUCAGCUCAUAUAAGGUAAAAGGCAGCGAGGCCUCGGUGGCCAGAGAGCCACGGGCAAGGGGCUGAGCAGAGGGGGGUCCAGUGCAAGUUGCUUAAAAAUGCCCCUGUAGCAUCAAGGGGUGCCAGACCCAAGUGAACUUAGUUGAGAAGCAGUAACACCCACAACCACACCCCAAACAGACUGGGCCUCCACCUCCGAAGAGUCAUCCCUGGACCAGACACCAGUCAAGGAGAGAGUGAUGGCUGGUAGGAUUCCCCCUACACUGGAGAAGAGCCCCAGAAAGGAAUCUUCCUGAGAAGGCGAGAAGGGACAGGAAUGGCUGCCCGGCUCCCAGAACUGAGCUUUCCAACAGUCAGAAGGCAGAGAUCCCCCAGCCUGGAGACAUUUUCUGAAGACACGGGGAAAGGAGAAAAGGCGGGCUACUCCCUGGCAAGCUGCUAAGAGCCAGUACCAAGAACGCCAGGUAAGAUCCGGAAUCUCCCUGGUUCCGCCACCUCUUUAUCAGAAUGGAGAACCAAGCCUGGGAUAUGAAGGGGCCUGGUGAGAAAUAUCUCUGCUCUCUGGAGAUAGAACUUGGAUCUCUAAGCCCCUCUCAUCUCCCAACAGCACUUCAGGGCCAAGGAGCCUUUCUUGGGGUAAAUGAAUGGUUCCUUCAAAUACCUCUUCUCAGUGAAGCUACAUUUGAAGGAGCCAGGGGUCCGGACAAGCUCUGCCUACCAGCCCAGUACAUGUAUGUUCCUGGGCCCAGGAAAAAAAGGCAUACCUCCCCAUCCCAUUGUUCCUCCCCACCAUCCCAGUCCCCACCCCCACCCCACCCCUUCCAGGAGGCCUUGUGAGCUCCCCAAGGGGUGGGGGGAAGGAACCUCCCUGACCACGAGCUCUUGGCAGUCUUUCCACAGGCUCUCUGGAGUUCCGAUCAGUCUGCCCCCAUGCCCUCCUUGGUGCUUCCCUUCCCCCUCAGCCUUCUGUGCCCUACAAGGGCAAGGGCAGUAUUGGGGCUGCUUUAGCCAGGAGUGCAGAGACAUACUCCCUAAGUACACAGAGACGGUGCUGGGUCUGCUGAACGAGCCGUCCCAUACCCAGAGGACUAAGAAACUAAGAUGUCAGGCAUGGAGUUUAAGGUGAGGGACCAGGCCCCGCUGCUCUGCACAGUACCUUACACUCCAACCCCGGGGAAAAUUCUAUUUCCUUGGAUCCUUAGAGACCUAUGGGGAUCUGCGCAGUUAAAAGUUCACCAGCUUGAUUAUUUGAAAAUCAUAGGGACAGAACUAGACAGUCUUUAUCCAGGGAUGGGACGAGGAAGAUGUGGCAAAGACCUUUUGUGGCUGAACACCUACCUCUCCAUUCUGUCUGCCUAUGUACUUCUCCUUAAGAAAGAAGGACCACCUUCUGUCUAGUUCCUGUGCCCCGCCGAGAAGAUGUAAAAUCCUGGCUACACUCUCCUUUACCCCAAGGUGGGAUGGCAGUAGUGGGACGGCAGUAGCCCUCAUUCCCCCUUUCUGAAUCGAUGCCUGCAAAUCUAGAACGCCUCACCAUCCUGGUCCUUCAUCCAAGGUGAUCAUCUCUAGCCACACAGGCUGACCAGAAGGUAGAACAGGCUCUGGUAUCCUGCCCCAAACCUAGUCAUUGGAUGUCCCCUUUUUUUGUUUUCGUAUUUAUUUAUUUAUUUAUUUAUUUAUUUAUUUAUUUAUUUAUUUAUUUUGGUUCUUUUUUUCGGAGCUGGGGACCGAACCCAGGGCCUUGUGCUUCCUAGGCAAGCGCUCUACCACUGAGCUAAAUCCCCAGCCCCACUGUUUUCUUUUUUAAAAAAAAAUUAUUAUUUAUUUAUUAUAAGUACACUGUAGCUGUCUUCAGACACACCAGAAGAGGGCAUCAGAUCUCAGUACAGAUGAUUGUGAGCCACUAUGUGGUUGCUGGGAUUCGAACUCAGGGCCUCUGGAAGAGCAGUCAGUGUUCUUAACCGCUGAGCCAUCUCUCCAGCCGUGAUGUCCUGAUUUUUUACUUUUGUCUGUGAUUUUAUUGUAAAGAGUAAGGUGAGUCCUUUCAUGUCCCUAAGCUGCCAUACUGUUAUAAAUGGAAAACUGACGCCAUCCAGAGUUGUAAACCCCAAUAUGAAGACGAAGCAUCAGAACCACAUUGUCGCUUGCUUCUGUGGCUUGUUAGGCGCCGACCUGAACCCCCUUCCUGAAGUAAGCAGGCCUCAGGAAGAAGUCAGAGGCAAAACAACCAGGCUUUCUUCUCCUUACACGGGACCCCAGGUCAACAGGCACUGUGGCUCAUGCCUAUAAUCCCAGAAUUCCAGAAGUAGAAACGGGGUGAGUCGGCAGUUCUACACACUGAAUGAGUUUGGGGCUAGCCUGGUCUACAUGUGUCUCUGUUUCUAAAAAGAAAGAAGGAAAAAAAAGAGAGAGAGAGACAUAAGGGGGAGGGAGGGGAGGGCCUACAUAGAGGCAGGGGAUGACCCAAAUGGUGUGUCACCAAAUGACUCCCAGAGAUUACCCAUCCCUCUGCUGCCCCAGAAAGCAAAAGCAGUGUAGGCAGAAGAGCUUUGAGUUCAGUUGACCCUGGGGAAGGCUCCUAGCAACCCAGCUAUGCUGUGUCCACCACUCCCAGCUACUUACUGAAAUGUCCCUUGGUCAGCUUCAGUGCCACCUCUCCCAGGGUCCAUGGGAGCCAUGGGGAAUGUCAUGGAGAAGACCAGACAUUCUGACUCCAAGAGAGUCCUGUGUUCAGAUCUCCUGGUAAGAGGGCUGUGGAAAGUUUCUGAGGAUUCCAGACAGAGGGGAGUUGCUUAUUGGCUGGGGAUGCCUGAGGGCAGAAGUUUCCUGGUCUUAGCAACAAACCAGAGAAGCUUUUCCCACUGCCCCUGCACUUCACCCCCAACUUAGGGCUGCUGCUAGAUUCUUCUCAGGAGGCCGAGGAGCUGUGGGGUUUCUAAAAAUGGAGGUAAGCAUAUUUUUAUUCUGUUCUCUCCCAGACCUGAGAAAAGGCUGCCUACCCUGUUCAGAAAACCCUGAGAGUACACAUACAUCAUCCAGCAUCAAGGCCACCACAGUCACCAUGAAGCAGAGGUCUUCUAGGGACCCUGGGAUCUUAGCAAGAGCUGGGUGAGUGGGUGGUUUGGGGUGGGAGUGCUCUGCUCACACAAGCCAUGGCCACAGGAGAAAAGGAAUCAUUCACGUGGUUACUCAGUCGCCACUGUCUGUGCGCAUGUGCAAAGUCAUCGGCAGGUUCUAGGGCCCCCAAAUUAUAAUAUAUGGACCCUGGCCUCAGGGAAAUGGAGAGGUAAGCUAGGGUGACCCAGAGAUGAACCACUCCAAAGCCACAGAGGGUGAUGUGGGUUGCGAUUGAUCUACUUAAGCAGUGUUCAACAUGGCCUUGAUUCGGGGGCAGAGGAAAGCCAGCAGACUCCCUUUCCUGAAGGGAAAGUGAAGGAAAGUGCUCCCAGAUGAAAACAGUACCCCAAGAGCUAGGAAGAAACAGAGUUCAAAGGUUGGGAGCGCCCAUGAAGGAGAUGUCCUUGGAUCUAAAGAAGUAAGGGGUGGUUUCUCAGUAGCUGUCAUUUGUCCAGACUGCAUACAGAGACGGAUGGGGCAAAUACGGGAACCACAAGUUGAGCAGGCACAGAGAGGCUAUCUGCAAGGCCCUGGGUUCCAUCUUUAGCACUGAAAAAAAAAAUUAACUGCACACUUCAGAUGGGUAGGGUCCAUCUCAAGAAAGCUAACUUUAAAAGACAAAGGACACGAAGAUGGACGUUUCCUUCCCAGAGGUCUCCAGGGCGUGUCCAGACCAGUAUAGGAGGCAGACCACUGCGCAUGCUCAUUCUCCUGCCCAGGAAGAAAGCCGUGGCCUGAGCGCGGAGCGCCUGUCUCCCAGCCUGAGGUGCAGUGCUGCAUCUCUGGUCAGUUGGGAGUCUGAGAUGAAGCACUGUAGCUCAGGAAGGGAGAAGAUGUUCUGCAGCCGUCGCCGGGACAUGGUAAGUGUUGGUGAGGGGUAGCGGGCCCGAUCGGUUGUCCCUAGAGUCCGCUGCAGCAACUUGUGGUGAUGUUCCUUGACUCAGGCUGUACCAGGGCUGAGCACUCUUAUGCCAUCCGUAACAGUAAACGCUGGUUCAUUCAAUGGCCGCCAGCACCAACACACUGCCUUUACUUCCUCAGCCCAGAGAAGACACUGCUAACAAACAAACAAACAAACAAACCGCGGCAUCUAUCCAUUCUGAGAGGGUUCCAACACGCCCUCGGAAUCCUUCUCAACACUGAAUAUCUACUAUAAAUGGUUCUGCGUUGAAACCCCUUCAUCUCUGUGGAUCAGACAGUCCCAAACAACCCUUAGUCCUAGAGGUAGAGGCGAACGGUCCUGGCAACCCAACAGAAGUGCCACACAUUAGGCUUGGAGUCACUGUCCUCACUCUUUGAGCUCUAACCCUGGUUGGUGCUGUUGCCUCAACCAGUCUGGCAUCUCGCAAAUGUCUGCCCUGUCCCAGAGGCUUCAGAGAGGCAAGGGGCAACAGAGGGGAGCCACUGGGGUCUACCCAUUUGUAUUUAACCUCCCUAGCCUGCUCAGAGGAAGCUGACCCACUUCAUAGAGCAGAGUAUGAAAAUAGAACGCACCCCACGCGGUCUACAGCUGGUUACUCUCAGCUGUAGUGACAUCAGAACCACACACUUCUACAUGUCCACCUGCAGGCCAGAAGAGGGCAUCAGAUCCCUUUAUAAAUGGUCCUGAGCCAGGUGGCUGCUGGGAAUUGAACUCAGGACCUCUGGAAGCGCAGCCAGCACUCUUAAUCGCUGAGCCAUCUGUCCAGCCCCUGACCAUACAUAUUUCUAAGAGUCCUGUGGCCUCACUUCCUUCAUGCUGGCUCCUCGCCCACCCAGUAGGUCCUAUUUGAUGCCACCUCACAAUCGAGCAAAGAUCAGAGUCUAAGUGACCUGCUGGAGGACAACAGUGAGAAAGUCGAUAGAGCCUGGGAACGGAUUUCAUGACCACUGGCCAGAGUUCUCAUGGCCCCAUGGCAAGGGGGAGGGGGCAGGGAGGACUGGUCCCAAAUGCUUCCUGACCUCAGGGGAGGUACUUUCCAAGCCACUCAGAGCUCUGGUUGCUCUCCCCAGAGUAGAGAGCUGCAUCCUGAGAAGUGAGGUGCAUAUAGCACCCCACACUGGCUGCCAGAGCUGGCGCCGGAUGCAGGGAAAACUGCUCGUCCCUAGGGGUGGGCGUGGCACUGCUGAAGGCAUCUCUCUCCCACCUUGUCCUCACGGUCCAGUUUUCCCAGGAAUCCCUUGGAUGCUAAGAUGGGGAUUCCUGGAAAUACUGUUCUUGAGGUCAUGGCUUAACAGCUGGAUCUGCCUCCUUCCCACCCUGACAUUUCCUCCCAGGGAGAAGGGAGGAGGAGGAGGUGCAUCGGAGGGAGGUAAGCGGUCUUGGGACCUCUUCUGACCUUUGUGUUGCUUUUUUCCCACUGCGUCCAUAUUUCCUAACAUCCCGGGGAGGUUGGAUGUGGGAACCUCAGAACUGCUUCACUCUUGAGAAACUUGUCUCGAGUCACAGUGGUUGAACCAGACUCCGAGACAGCCUUCCCUCCACUCUGACCCUCCACAUUCCUUCCCACAGGCCCAUAUCCACAUUAUUAAGAAAGUAAUACACAAAUUUAUUUUCAAGGUUUAUUAAAUCAGUUAGGUAAACUAAGAAACAGUUCGUCUCCAUUGAAUUUGGAGGGCAGCCACAGGAAAAUGAGGUUUCAAGGUAGAAAAUAUGCUAUUUGGAGCGCCCCUGGUGGUGUUUCUUCCCACUGCAGGGACACUCGUGACCCCUGUACACAACCAGGGCUUAAUUAACCCUUAUUCAUCUCUCGCCAGAGAUGUGUCCAUGUCUUAGAGUUGGCUUUUCCUUAGGCAGACCACCUAGAAAGCAAAAGGUAGAACCAGGAUUGAUUUUGAGCCUGGAAUUGAAUGUCUGAGUCAAAAGAAAAAGUGGCUCCCCCCACCUCCCGCCCCAACUCUUGGGAGUUCUGUUUUUUUCUCAGUAAGUCUUUGCUCACUGUGCUAAAAAAUAAAUAAAUAGAUAAAAAUUAAAAAUAAAGCACACACCUUUAUUUGCAACACUUGGGAGGCAGAGGCAGGAGUGGAAGUCAAAACCCUUGAUGAAAUCCAGCUAUAAAAUAGGACUUGGGCUGGAAGGAUGAGAUGGGGCUUACCAGCAAAGGCACUUGACACCAAUCUAAGGGCUUGAGUAGAAGUCCCCAAAGCCACUGAGCUCCCGAAACUUGUCCUCUGACCUCCAAAUGGGUCGUAUGCCGUGUGCAGCAAACGCGCUCACACACACAAUAGAAAGAAAUAAAUGUGAAGGAAGUUCUAGAACUUCGGUGCUGGGGACACGGCUCAGUGUGUAAAGCGCUGAUUUCACAUGCCCAGCGCCUAUGUGAGGUCACACUUACAAUCCUAAGGCUGGUGGGGAGAAAGACAAGAGGACCCCUGGAGACCUGCAGCCAGCCAGGCUAGCCAGGGUUGGUUUACCAAGACUCUGCCUCAUAGAGUAGACAAUGACAGAAAACAGUGACUGUGUGCACACACACAUGCACUCAUGCACACACCCAUGUCCCUGAGAACCACCCUUAAACUGUCCCUAGUCCGGUGGAGGUAGCAAGUGUCAUAGCCCCACAACCCUCGUUUCCAGUGUGCCCUGGAGUCUCCAGAGACCAGGCAGUCCCCAGGGGCUACUAUGCUCCCAGCAAGCAUCCAGAAGACAUUUCUGAAGAGAGACCCCUCCCCCCUCCCGCUCACAUUCGGAGACCGUUGCUGACUUACUCGGGAUGGCAGACUUGCCGAUGACAGCAUCACCACCCUCCACUCUCGGGCUCUUGACACUCUGGGCAAUCCCAGUUCUCACUGCAGACCCAGUGAGGUAGCAGGCAAGCAGCCCAAGGCUGAGAGAGCUUAAGACACUUACCUUAGGCCACACUCAGUAAUUCCCCAAUCCAACAGUGCUUACGAUUUCCACCAUCCUCCCGAGUCCCACCCAACAAGGCUCCCGCCAACCCCACCCGCACAGUGGCUUUCCCAUGGGGGGAAGAAUAGUGAGCCUUCCUCUCUAUGUUUUGUGACAAUAAUAAAGCACUGGACCUUUGAUUUGUGUCAUCUUUCUUCCUGGGAGUAUAGGGGCAAGAAAGAACUUUCCAGUACUCACAGCCAUAACCUCCAAGAGCCUCUGCUUAACAGACAUUUCCACAGACCAGUACAGGGACAGUAGGGAGGAGCCACCUCUGAGCUGCCCAUCCCACUCCUGCUGCCUCAGGAUGCUUCCAGGCCACGACUCAAAGUACUUCAGGGAAGAGGUCUGUGGGAGACGGGGACCAUUAAAGUUAAGCAAGGGCCACAGAGGGGGAUCUAAUACAUGGUCACCCCUUUCCUUCUGUUCCAGAGAACACAGUCUGAAACCAUAUGUUCCCACAUCACACAUGUGUGCUAUUCUGAGUUACCUCAGGCCAUCGCCCAGCUCUGCAGUGACAUGGCUUCAGUGGUACUCCAAGCCACAAAACCAACACAGGAUGAUUUUUUUUUUUUGAGAUAGGGUCUCACCCAUUCAGCCCAGGCUGCAUGAUCCCCAAAACUACUGUAUUUAGACAAAAUGGACCCUCUUACGUAGUCAUUGAACUUGUUUCGCCUCAGCCUCCGAGGGCCCUGGGUUGGACUGCAGAGAGGGCUCAGUGGUUAAGACCACUUGAUGUCCUUCUAGAGGGCCUGGGUUCAGUUCCUAGAACCCAUGUUGAGAGGUUUGCAACUACUUGUAACUCCAAGGAUGUGGCUUCAGGAGAUCCUACACUCUCUACUGGCUUCGUCGGGCACCUGAACACAAAUAUACACAUAAAUAAAGUAUGACUAAACCCAAGGGCUGAGGUACAUACCCACCACACUAGAUGCCGGGACUUAAAGCAGUCACAUGGCCAGUCAGCGGUGGCAUAUGCCUUUAAUGCCAGUACUCUGGAGGCAGAGGCAGGAGGAAUUCUGUGAGUUUGAGGCCAGCCUCGUUUACAUAGUGACGAACAGAAAGCCUGUCUUGGAAAAAACCCAACCCAAUCGGAAACAGUCACAUGCCUCACAUGACCUCCCAAGCUACUGUAUUUAGACGAAACAAGCCCUCUUACAUGGCCAUCCCCAGGAGCCAAGGGCCACCUACACCUCACUGCCCCAGAACAAGCCCUGAAGAGGGGUCCGAGGCUCCAGAAUCAUCCCAGUCACCUGAGUGCCAAACAGGGAGUGGGAGAGAUGGGCCAAGGGUGCCUCUGCAACUGUUGUGCUUUUCAGCUUCAAAACAGUAGCCAGCAGGAUGCCACAGCCUUCUCAAGGACCACAGGCUUUGUCUUUGCUGUCCCUCCUUCUAGAGCUUCCAUUUGACAUCCUAGUGGAGCUGAUACCAACCAGCUAGCUGCCAGCAGAGCCAAAAGAGACACAUUGGCUACUUUAACCACCUUAAAGCGGACUCCAGGAAUAUCACCCACGGCAUGGCCUUUGCGACCAAAUCCAGCAACCAGAACUUCAUCAUUUUCCUCAAUGAAGUUCAAGCAACAGUCAUUGGGCACGAACGCUGUGAUCUUCUUGCCGUGCUUAAUGAGCUGCACCCUGACACACUUCCGGAUGGCAGAAUUUGGCUGUUUGGCUUCAGCCCCUACUUUUUCCAGCACAAUUCCCUUUGCGUGAGAGGC